GACGAACGCUGGCGGCGUGCUUAACACAUGCAAGUCGAACGGAAAGGCCCCGCUUUUGUUGGGUGCUCGGGUGACGAACGGGUGAGACACACGUGAGUAACCUUCCCUUUAGUUUUGAAUAACGUCAAGAAACUGUGGCAAAUGCCGGAUAUGAUCUCCUCCUGCAUGGGGUUGGUUGGAAUGUGUCGGCGGUUGUGGAUGGACUCGCGGCUUAUCAGCUUGUUGGUGGGGUAGUGGCUUACCAAGGCUUUGACGGGUAGCCGGCCUGAGAGGGUGACCGGCCACAUUGGGACUGAGAUACGGCCCAGACUCCUACGGGAGGCAGCAGUGGGGAAUAUUGCACAAUGGGCGGAAGCCUGAUGCAGCAACGCCGCGUGCGGGAUGACGGCCUUCGGGUUGUAAACCGCUUUCGCCUGUGACGAAGCGUGAGUGACGGUAAUGGGAGAAGAAGCACCGGCUAACUACGUG
rnacentral:rRNA from 1 species